GGGUCAAUGAUGACACCUCCACUUCUCUGGAAGUAGAAAUGAUGACAUUAAAAUCACGCUCAAUAGGAUCACGCUGAGUCCC
ensembl:snoRNA SNORD115 Small nucleolar RNA SNORD115